GUGCAGCAGUCGAGAAACCUCCGCAAUACACGAAAGUGUGACGGGGCCAUCCCGAGUGCCGUCCGCUGAGGACGGCUUUUCCCCAGUGUACACAGCUGGGGGAAUAAGGAGAGGGCAAGCCUGGUGUCAGCCGCCGCGGUAAUACCAGCUCUCCGAGUGGUGGGGACGCUUAUUGGGCCUAAAGCAUCCGUAGCCGGCUGGGCAAGUCCUCCGUUAAAUCCAACGAUUCAAUCGUUGGGCUGCGGGGGAUACUGUCCAGCUUGGGGGCGGGAGAGGCCGACGGUAUUCCCCGGGGUAGGGGUGAAAUCCUAUAAUCCCGGGAGGAGCACCAGUGGCGAAGGCUGUCGGCUAGAACGCGCCCGACGGUGAGGGGAUGAAAGCUGGGGGAGCGAACCGGAUUAGAUA
rnacentral:rRNA from 1 species